AUUGAACGCUGGCGGCAUGCCUUACACAUGCAAGUCGAACGGCAGCGCGGACUUCGGUCUGGCGGCGAGUGGCGAACGGGUGAGUAACACAUCGGAACGUACCCUGUUGUGGGGGAUAACUAGUCGAAAGAUUAGCUAAUACCGCAUACGACCUGAGGGUGAAAGUGGGGGACCGCAAGGCCUCACGCAGCAGGAGCGGCCGAUGUCUGAUUAGCUAGUUGGUGGGGUAAAGGCCCACCAAGGCGACGAUCCGUAACUGGUCUGAGAGGACGUACAGCCACACUGGGACUGAGACACGGCCCAGACUCCUACGGGAGGCAGCAGUGGGGAAUUUUGGACAAUGGGGGCAACCCUGAUCCAGCAAUGCCGCGUGUGUGAAGAAGGCCUUCGGGUUGUAAAGCACUUUUGUCCGGAAAGAAAUCGCGCUGGUUAAUACCUGGCGUGGAUGACGGUACCGGAAGAAUAAGCACCGGCUAACUACGUGCCAGCCGCCGCGGUAA
rnacentral:rRNA from 1 species